ACAGGGAUUGCCCUAGUAACGGCGAGUGAAGCGGCAACAGCUCAAAUUUGAAAUCUGGCUCUUUCAGAGUCCGAGUUGUAAUUUGCAGAGGGCGCUUUGGCGUUGGCAGCGGUCCAAGUUCCUUGGAACAGGACGUCACAGAGGGUGAGAAUCCCGUACGUGGUCGCUGGCCUUCGCCGUGUAAAGCCCCUUCGACGAGUCGAGUUGUUUGGGAAUGCAGCUCUAAAUGGGAGGUAAAUUUCUUCUAAAGCUAAAUACUGGCCAGAGACCGAUAGCGCACAAGUAGAGUGAUCGAAAGAUGAAAAGCACUUUGGAAAGAGAGUCAAAUAGCACGUGAAAUUGUUGAAAGGGAAGCGCUUGCAGCCAGACUUGCCUGUAGUUGCUCAUCCGGGCUUUUGCCCGGUGCACUCUUCUGCGGGCAGGCCAGCAUCAGUUUGGGCGGUUGGAUAAAGGUCUCUGUCAUGUACCUCCUUUCGGGGAGGCCUUAUAGGGGAGACGUCAUGCAACCAGCCUGGACUGAGGUCCGCGCAUUUGCUAGGAUGCUGGCGUAAUGGCUGUAAGCGGCCCGUCUUGAAACACGGACCAAGGAGUCUAACAUCUAUGCGAGUGUUUGGGUGUCAAGCCCGAACGCGUAAUGAAAGUGAACGGAGGUGGGACCCCUUUAGGGUGCACCAUCGACCGAUCCUGAUGUCUUCGGAUGGAUUUGAGUAAGAGCAUGGCUGUUGGGACCCGAAAGAUGGUGAACUAUGCUUGAAUAGGGUGAAGCCAGAGGAAACUCUGGUGGAGGCUCGCAGCGGUUCUGACGUGCAAAUCGAUCGUCAAAUUUGGGCAUAGGGGCGAAAGACUAA
rnacentral:rRNA from 1 species